GAUGAACGCUGGCGGCGUGCCUAAUACAUGCAAGUCGAGCGAACGGACGAGAAGCUUGCUUUUCUGAUGUUGGCGGCGGACGGGUGAGUAACACGUGGAUAACCUACCUAUAAGACUGGGAUAACUUCGGGAAACCGGAGCUAAUACCGGAUAAUAUUUUGAACCGCAUGGUUCAAAAGUGAAAGACGGUCUUGCUGUCACUUAUAGAUGGAUCCGCGCUGCAUUAGCUAGUUGGUAAGGUAACGGCUUACCAAGGCAACGAUGCAUAGCCGACCUGAGAGGGGGAUCGGCCACACUGGAACUGAGACACGGUCCAGACUCCUACGGGAGGCAGCAGUAGGGAAUCUUCCGCAAUGGGCGAAAGCCUGACGGAGCAACGCCGCGUGAGUGAUGAAGGUCUUCGGAUCGUAAAACUCUGUUAUUAGGGAAGAACAUAUGUGUAAGUAACUGUGCACAUCUUGACGGUACCUAAUCAGAAAGCCACGGCUAACUACGUG
rnacentral:rRNA from 1 species